rnacentral:rRNA from 1 species
UACGUAGGGUGCGAGCGUUUAAUCGGGAAUUACUGGGCGUAAAGCGUGCGCAGGCGGUUCGUUGUGUCGGUGGUGAAAUCCCCGGGCUUAACCUGGGAUGGCCAUGGAAACUGGCGAACUGGAGUGCGGCAGAGGGGGGUGGAAUUCCGCGUGUAGCAGUGAAAUGCGUAGAGAUGCGGAGGAACACCGAUGGCGAAGGCAGCCCCCCUGGGCUAGCACUGACGCUCAGGCACGAAAGCGUGGGGAGCAAACAGG